rnacentral:rRNA from 1 species
GGCGCUCUAGCGUCGUGCCUAUACCGGGCCGUCAACGGCAAAGUGGGCGUCUGCCUUCGGGCAAGAGCCGUUAAGCCUUGACGAGUAGGAAGGUCGCGGCGGUGUGCGCAGAAGGGUCAGGGCGUGAGCCUGCCUGGAGCCGCCGUCGGUGCAGAUCUUGGUGGUAGUAGCAAAUACUCUAGCGAGGGCCUGGAGGACUGACGUGGAGAAGGGUUUCUUGUGAACAGCCGUUGCACAAGAGUCAGUCGACCCUAAGUUCUAGGAGAAAUCCGAUGUCGAUGGGUAACUAGACAACAGGCUAGCGAGUCUGCGGACCGCUGUCUUUUUGACAAAAGUUCCCGUUCGGGCAAAAGGGAAUCCGGUUCAUAUUCCGGAACCCGGCUGCGUGACCGCCACUUUGCGGGCACUCGCCUGCGAGCGCUCGUCGGGGUAACCCAAACUGGCCCGGAGACGCCGGCGGGGGGUCUGGAAAGAGUUUUCUUUUCUUUAUAAGCGUUCGAGUACCCUGGAAUCCUAUAGCAGGGAGAUAGGGUUUGGAGCGCGAAGAGCACCGCAGUUGCGGCGGUGUCCGGACCUUCCCCCCGGACCUUGAAAAUCUGGGUGAGGGCUACGCGGAAGUCGCGCCGGAUCGUACCCAUAUCCGCAGCAGGUCUCCAAGGUUAAGA